rnacentral:tRNA from 1 species
UCCCUGGAGGACUAGUGGUUAGGCCACAUCGGUCUCACCGCUGUGGCCCGGGUUUGAUUCCCAGCCAGGGAA